UCAUACCCCUGUCCCGGGCCCGCUCACCGACUAAGGACGUAGUAUACUCGAGAUAUACCCGUCAUGGUAGUUGGAUACAGAAGUCGAGGGAUUCACCCAACGACGCAACUACAUUUUAGAUUUAUGGUAGUUGGAUACAGAAGUCGAGGGAUUCACCCAACGACGCAACUACAUUUUAGAUUUAUGGAUUCAGGAGAAAAUUGUUUUUGCACAAGUCACCACUCGAACGGCUAGUGCGAUAAAGUACAC
rnacentral:lncRNA from 1 species